GGAGCUGUGGUGCAGUGGUAGAAGAUCUCCUUGGCAUGCAGAAGGUCCCAGGUUCAAUCCUCAGCAUCUCCA
rnacentral:tRNA from 1 species